rnacentral:rRNA from 1 species
GAUGAACGCUGGCGGCGUGCCUAAUACAUGCAAGUCGAGCGAACAGACGAGGAGCUUGCUCCUCUGACGUUAGCGGCGGACGGGUGAGUAACACGUGGAUAACCUACCUAUAAGACUGGGAUAACUUCGGGAAACCGGAGCUAAUACCGGAUAAUAUAUUGAACCGCAUGGUUCAAUAGUGAAAGACGGUUUUGCUGUCACUUAUAGAUGGAUCCGCGCCGCAUUAGCUAGUUGGUAAGGUAACGGCUUACCAAGGCAACGAUGCGUAGCCGACCUCAGAGGGUGAUCGGCCACACUGGAACUGAGACACGGUCCAGACUCCUACGGGAGGCAGCAGUAGGGAAUCUUCCGCAAAGGGCGAAAGCCUGACGGAGCAACGCCGCGUGAGUGAUGAAGGUCUUCGGAUCGUAAAACUCUGUUAUUAGGGAAGAACAAAUGUGUAAGUAACUAUGCACGUCUUGACGGUACCUAAUCAGAAAGCCACGGCUAACUACGUG